GUGAAUCAUCAAAUUUUUGAACGCAAAUUGCACUCUCCUCGGAGAGUAUGCCUGUUUGAGGGUCAGCCUAUAAAAAAUCGGUUUGGUUGCAAAUUGUGACGUUUCCGGAGUUUGGGCUAUCUUAACUUUUUUGGUUAAGGGGCUUAAAAUUGACCUUAUUUGCGCAUUUUUAGACGUACAUAAAUUUUUUUUAUCGUUUAUUCUGGUGCCAAUUAUCUAUUAAGUGCGAUCAUGUUAUACGAUCUCGUGCCUAUAAUUUCUCAUCUUUUGACCUCAAAUCAGGUAAGGAUACCCGCUGAAU
rnacentral:misc_RNA from 1 species